rnacentral:lncRNA from 1 species
UUAGCUUACAUGAACUCCAGAAAGGUGUGAGCAAAUGGUCUCCAUUCACAAAAAACUAGCAAGUGGAAAAACUUGGAUUCAGACCUGGAUCUUAUGACUCCCGAGUCCUUUUAGCCAUGCUCUCCUGAUACUGACCCUUCUUUGAAUCAUCAUGGGAAGAGUCUACAAGAGAUUCACUGGCCCUUUCUCUGGCUUUCAAGUAAAUAAGGACUUAUUUUCUUCAUUUUGCAUAAGAGCAUUCUUCCAGAUGAUUGAGUGUCAUGGAAUAUUUGAGUUUCUGAAAAAUCAAAAUUGAAGGUGAUCCAAUAGGCAAUGGAGAAACAAGUGGCAAGCAUGAGUAGCAUAUAAUAUGUUAUAGUGAAUUUUGAAGCAGAAGCAGAGUAACACAUGGCAUUGGAAAAAAAAAAAGAUUGACUGGUCAUUUUGUCAGUCAUGGAUAAUCACUGAACAGCCCAUGGACUCCUAUUCCCUCGCUCAAGAAAAAAGAGGAAGGUCACAAGUAUGUUGGAUGAGUCCCUGCUCUGACUCAAACUUGGAGGUAAAAAUUGGAAAAAGUCACACAGGAGAGUACCCAAGAAAUUUACUCUGGAUAAAUGAGAUAAAUUAUGUCAUACUUCCAAACCUGUUUGGCACACAAGAAAUCUCAUGA